AAUAAUAUAGCGGGUUCACCAUCGGAUUGAGUUCUGCAUAAGGUUAACGAGAUUCAACAUAUUGUGGGGCUUUCAUAUGGAGGAUGUGAAAACCAAUUUAAAGCACUACUAACUGCGAUUGAGGCGGACCACUCGCUUGAAACUAAAUCAAGUUAUAAGAAAAGCAUAGAAAGAUUUGACAAUCAA